AUUGAACGCUGCGGCAGGCCUAACACAUGCAAGUCGAGCGAGCGGAGGACGGGUGAGUAAUGCUUAGGAAUCUGCCUAUUAGUGGGGGACAACAUCCCGAAAUGGAUGCUAAUACUGCAUACUAAUAGAUGAGACUAAGUCGGAUUAGCUAGUUGGUGGGGUAAAGGCCUACCAAGGCGACGAACUGUAGCGGGUCCGAGAGGAUGAUCCGCCAAACUGGGAAUGAGAAACGGGCCAGACUCCUAAGGGAGGGAGCAGUGGGGGAUAUUGGACAAUGGGGGGAACGCUGGACCAGCCAAGCCGCGUGUGUGAAGAAGGCCUUAUGGUUGUAAAGCACUUUAAGCGAGGAGGCGUUACUCGCAGAAUAAGCACCGGCUAACUCUGUGCCAGCCGCCGCGGUAAUUC
rnacentral:rRNA from 1 species